CGGACAUUUCUAAAAAUUCGCUUUUGAAUUGAUCCAACAAGGCACGAAUUCUGGACUCUAAGUAUGUACUACUUCUCUCACUUUGCACAAAAAUAUUCAAAUUUAUAAAAGGCGUGACUUGACGAACUAAAGUAAAAACAAUAUAACCAAGUUGUUCUUUAGUACGCAAGAUGGAGAAAGUGGGUUCCUUCAUUAUUUGCCGUGCUAGUCGAGUUAGGGCUCCAGAUCUUUCAUCGUCAAGCUGGCUGAUUUGAAGAUUAUACAUAAUAGCAGAAUUUUUCUCUUCCUUGUUUGGCACCACAGUUUUGUAAAUAUAAUUACCACCUUCAGGAACUAUUAUAGCCCUUUUACGGCUCAACUGGGAUGCAAAGACUGGUUUUGGGUCAAUCAGUUUUUGAGCGGAUUCAAUAAGAUUUUUGGCAUCUUCCUCGGUAUAGUUUCCAUGUACCAAAGAUUCUAAAAAGUUUUGUUUUAAUAAAUCACUAAUAAAAUCAGACAUAUCGCCCACCUGGACAUCUUUAAUAGCUUCACGUAACUCAGCAUUUGACC